rnacentral:hammerhead_ribozyme from 1 species
AUACUGAUGAAGAGUCUCAAACUAGGACGAAACAGCCGUCCAGUAC